UACAGAGGUCUCAAGCGUUGUUCGGAUUCAUUGGGCGUAAAGGGUGCGUAGGUGGCGGGGCAAGUCAGGUGUGAAAUCUCGGGGCUCAACCCCGAAACUGCACUUGAUACUGCCUUGCUCGAGUACUGGAGAGGAGAUUGGAAUUUACGGUGUAGCAGUGAAAUGCGUAGAUAUCGUAAGGAAGACCAGUGGCGAAGGCGAAUCUCUGGACAGUUCCUGACGCUGAGGCACGAAGGUCAGGGGAGCAAACGGG
rnacentral:rRNA from 1 species